AUCAAUUUAUACAGGCUUAUUGCCCAGUUUCACAGUUCUAGUGCUAGUCCCACAGUAUUUGCAGUUUUUCUUAAAGUGUUGAUUCCCAGAGUCAUGUAUUUUCCUGCGAACGCAGGUUUUCGGUUUUCCAAAUGGCAGGAGCUACAGGGAAACGUUGACAGGCUCAUACCUAAAGAAUCAUAAAUGAGAAUGUAAACCAAGAAGCUAAGGACAUUCCAGCAACAUAUCCCAGUGGCAACGCUCUAUCUUCAUUCACAUGUCUUAGUAGCCCAGCCCUUAAAUGGGUCACCGGAGCAUCUCUCUCAGGUAUUUACUGUAAAGAAGAAAACCUCCACUGCCCAUAUCCAAACUUCAGAGGAGCAUUUAAAGCAGA
rnacentral:lncRNA from 1 species